rnacentral:rRNA from 1 species
GUGAACGCUAGCGGUGCGCCUAAUACAUGCAAGUCGAGCGAGGCUUCGAGCCGAGCGGCGAACGGCUGCGUAGCACGUUGGUACCUGCCCCAAACUCAGGGAUAAUCCGCCGAAAGGCGGACUAAUACCGGAUAGUCCCGAAAGGGUAAAGAUUUAUCGGUUUGGGAGGGGCCUGCGGCCUAUCAGCUAGUUGGUAAGGUAAAGGCUUACCAAGGCUAUGACGGGUAGCUGGUUUGAGAGAACGACCAGCCAGAAUGGGACUGAGACACGGCCCAUACUCCUACGGGAGGCAGCAGUAAGGAAUCUUCCGCAAUGGGGGCAACCCUGACGGAGCGACACCGCGUGAAUGACGAAGGCCUCCGGGUCGUAAAAUUCUGUCUUGAGGGACGAAAAAAAUGACGGUACCUCAGGAGGAAGCCCCGGCUAACUACGU